UACAGAGGGGGCAAGCGUUGUUCGGAAUUACUGGGCGUAAAGGGCGCGUAGGCGGCCUUCUAAGUCGAACGUGAAAUCCCCGGGCUCAACCCGGGAACUGCGUCCGAUACUGGAAGGCUUGAAUCCGGGAGAGGGAUGUGGAAUUCCAGGUGUAGCGGUGAAAUGCGUAGAUAUCUGGAGGAACACCGGUGGCGAAGGCGGCAUCCUGGACCGACAUUGACGCGUGAACGGCGAAAGCUAGGGGAGCAAACGGG
rnacentral:rRNA from 1 species